rnacentral:lncRNA from 1 species
CUGUCGUGUGGGAAAUUAUGUUCAAAAUCUCCGUGAUCCUCUGUCCAUAGAGCUGCUGCCAAAUCAACACCUCGAUAUGUUUGUUCUUGGAGAGAAAUGAGCUAAGGAGGAAGACCGUCUAAAAAUACCACUGGACAAUUUGUACUCACUGGAGUGGUCUCUAUGGGGCAAAAGGUUUUUAGAGUGGCUCGUGGAUUUUCUGGCAAGUGGCAAACCAUACAAGAGCUACGUCAGGCCAGGAAGACAGGUACAGCCCUGUCGGUGUCAAAGAAGAACACCGGUAGCAGAAGAGCUAAGAGUGAAUGAAAAUGGAAUUAUCUUUACUUCUAGGACUUGUCUAUUGAGAAACAGCAGCGCUGGCAACCAUUUACUACCAACAAGAGGCAGUUGCAAGAGAAGAAUAUAAAAUAUGCUCUGCUCAACCCCACAAAACUCAGAGUGUCUCACAAUGGCCAAUUUAUUAUUUUUACCCUGUCCAGUGACAUGGAAGGAUGCAUCAGGGAGCUGCUAGCCUCUGCGAUGAAUAACUUAAGUCAGGCUGCAACAUGUGAAAUA